GGCGUGCCAAGAUGCCCUGGCACCGCAGCCCCUGCCUUACCACACCGCUCUUCGGAGGGAGGGGCAGGCAGGCAGUGCCACAGGAGCCGGGUCCCAAGAAUAACUCUGCAGAUCUUGGCUUCCCAGCCUCAGGAUUGUCCCCAGGGACCAGGACAAAGGGCUUGGUCCUAUUGGCUUGUCUCCAUGGCGCCUCCCUUCUUCUUCUUCCCAGGUGAAUGGAUCAGCUCAGUUAGACCCAAGAGAGCCUCAUGCUUGUCCUAGACCUCAUUUUCCCGACCCAGUGGCAUUCCAGCCACACCUGCUGAGGCCUUGGGUACCUGCGCAUCAGAGUAGCAGCUCCUCCAGCUGGCAGAGAAAGACUUGAUUUGCCACAGUUAGCGCGGCCCACUGUGGAAGCAAUCCAGGGUUCGCUCACCACCCAGCCAUGCCAGCUGAUGCUGUUUUGAUUCCCCUAACCAGGGGCAGUCACUUUUCUAGAACUUUCUGUGUCAUGAACCCUCAAGGGAGGCAGCUAAUGCAACCCUUUCCCAAAGGGCCCUCUCCUAAUACCUGCAAAUUAUAAGGACACUAUUUGACUUGAUAUUAUUUCUGGAGGAAAAUAAAAGUCAAUAAAGGCACAUAAACUGCUCUGUGAUUUGAGGCAAAAUGAAUACAAAAGCCAGGCCCUUCUGCCACACCCACUCACCACGUGAUCUUAAGAGAGUCGUUUCUAAUCUCAGAGUCUCAGUUAUCUUGCCUGUAAAAUGUGGAGGUUGAGCUACAUUAAAUCUAUGGUCA
rnacentral:lncRNA from 10 species